UACGGGGGGGGGCAAGCGUUGUUCGGAAUUACUGGGCGUAAAGGGCUCGUAGGUGGCCAACUAAGUCAUACGUGAAAUCCCCCGGCUUAACCUGGGAACUGCGUCUGAUACUGGACGGCUUGAGUAUGGGAGAGGGAUGUAGAAUUCCAGGUGUAGCGGUGAAAUGCGUAGAUAUCAGGAAGAACACCUAUGGCGAAGGCAGCUCUCUGGGACGGUACUGACGCUGAGACGCGAAAGCGUGGGGAGCGAACAGG
rnacentral:rRNA from 1 species